GUCGACGGCAGCACGGGAGCAAUCCUGGUGGCGAGUGGCGAACGGGUGAGUAAUAUAUCGGAACGUGCCCAGUCGUGGGGGAUAACGUAGCGAAAGCUACGCUAAUACCGCAUACGAUCUAUGGAUGAAAGCGGGGGAUCGCAAGACCUCGCGCGAUUGGAGUGGCCGAUAUCAGAUUAGGUAGUUGGUGAGGUAAAGGCUCACCAAGCCGACGAUCUGUAGCUGGUCUGAGAGGACGACCAGCCACACUGGAACUGAGACACGGUCCAGACUCCUACGGGAGGCAGCAGUGGGGAAUUUUGGACAAUGGGCGCAAGCCUGAUCCAGCAAUGCCGCGUGCAGGAUGAAGGCCUUCGGGUUGUAAACUGCUUUUGUACGGAGCGAAAAGGCUCUCACUAAUACUGGGGGCUCAUGACGGUACCGUAAGAAUAAGCACCGGCUAACUACGUGCCAGCAGCCGCGGUAAUACGUAGGGUGCAAGCGUUAAUCGGAAUUACUGGGCGUAAAGCGUGCGCAGGCGGUCUUGUAAGACAGAUGUGAAAUCCCCGGGCUUAACCUGGGAAUGGCAUUUGUGACUGCAAGGCUGGAGUACGGCAGAGGGGGAUGGAAUUCCGCGUGUAGCAGUGAAAUGCGUAGAUAUGCGGAGGAACACCGAUGGCGAAGGCAGUCCCCUGGGCCUGUACUGACGCUCAUGCACGAAAGCGUGGGGAGCAAACAGGAUUAGAUACCCUGGUAGUCCACGCCCUAACCGAUGUCAACUGGUUGUUGGGCCUU
rnacentral:rRNA from 1 species